AGUGAACGCUGGCGGUAGGCCUAACACAUGCAAGUCGAACGGCAGCACAGUAAGAGCUUGCUCUUACGGGUGGCGAGUGGUGGACGGGUGAGGAAUACAUCGGAAUCUACUUUUUCGUGGGGGAUAACGUAGGGAAACUUACGCUAAUACCGCAUACGACCUACGGGUGAAGGCAGGGGAUCUUCGGACCUUGCGCGAUUGAAUGAGCCGAUGUCGGAUUAGCUAGUUGGCGGGGUAAAGGCCCACCAAGGCGACGAUCCGUAGCUGGUCUGAGAGGAUGAUCAGCCACACUGGAACUGAGACACGGUCCAGACUCCUACGGGAGGCAGCAGUGGGGAAUAUUGGACAAUGGGCGCAAGCCUGAUCCAGCCAUACCGCGUGGGUGAAGAAGGCCUUCGGGUUGUAAAGCCCUUUUGUUGGGAAAGAAAAGCAGCAGGUUAAUACCCCGCUGUUCUGACGGUACCCAAAGAAUAAGCACCGGCUAACUUCGUG
rnacentral:rRNA from 1 species